GGGAAUGUGGUGGAAUCGGUAGACACGACGGACUUAAAAUCCGUUACUUAGUGAUGAGUAUGAGGGUUCAAGUCCCUCCAUUCCUA
rnacentral:tRNA from 1 species